ensembl:lncRNA
CACGGCAUGAUGACAUUGCUAUGUCAGCCUUUCCUUACUGGAACUUCUUUCAGCCACACUCAUUUCUUUAACUCUGUACAGGAAACUUGUUUCAUGUAAGUAUAAUCAGCUCUGCUGCUGCUCGGUGGUCUCCAUCCUUCUGUCCCAAAUGGCUUCUUUCAAAUUCUUCCUCUUUUUGUCUCUAAUCUCAGACUUAACAGCUUUUCAGCAGGAUGUUCAGGUGAAGCUUGGAGAUGACGUCACUCUCCAGUGUCAGGUUUCCACAGAUGAAAUAAUCUCAGUGCUGAAGUGGAGCAGAGCUGACCUGAACACAGACGGCUACGUCUACUUCUACAGGAACAAACGCUCCUAUGAAAACUACCAACAUCCAUCUUUUCAUGGUCGAGUGAAGCUGAGGGACCCGGAGAUGAAGGAUGGAGACGUUUCUCUGAUCCUGAAGAAAGUCACGUUUAAUGACACUGGGAUUUAUGAGUGUCACGUAGCAGUGAGGAACCCUGUGAGAAGUAAAAGAGUUCACACUGAGAUCAGUCGCUUCAUCAACCUCACAGUCACAGGUGAAACACAUGAAAGCGUGUCAGAGAAACGAGUCGUGGAAAGAGGAGACGCAGAUGAAAACAUGGAUGGUACUGAAAGGGUCGGAGCUCCAUCUCUUCAGGUUGUUGUUCCUGUUGUUGUUGUUGUUGUUGUUGUUGUUGUUGUUGUUGUUGCUCUUUUUGCCGUUGGUUUUGUGACACACCAACAAACUUGUCAACAUAAGAAGCAACGUCCAGUCAAGCUUCCUACUGAGGACUCAGAUGAAGGACUAUGAAGCUGCAGAAAUGUAUAAACUUUCUUGAUGAAAACUAAAGCACUGACAUUAACUCCUUUUAUAAAAUGUAUGUAUAUACAGAUCUUAAUAAAUUUGUUAGACCACAUCAUAAAAACAGAAAACACACACAGCAUUUUAAUACGAACUCAGUGAAUUUUAAAAAAUACUCUUCAGACUAAAUUUACAUUUUAAACUCAAACCUAAACCUGUACACUGUAAUUAUAUCAUAUAAAUAAUAAUAAUAAUUAUGUUUGCAUGAAAACAAUUUCUCAACAAAGAGAUUUCUGGUGGACAGAAACAUAUAAUAAAUGAUUUUAGUAAUCAAACUGCAGCACUUCACAUUAAACUCCAUCUUUCACAGCAGUGUCAGUUUUAUUAAUGUAGCAGAUUUUUGGAGUCUGUUACUGAAUGUUUGCACAGAUUUGACUGACCUCAGGUCAGCAUGCAGCUUGUUCACAAGAAUGGGACCACGGUCACUGAAUGCACCUUCAGCACAUUUACAUCUAAUACUGGGAACAGUUAAACAAUCUGAAGCCCUGACUGUAAAUCCAUUUAUAAACAAACUGCAGGCCAUGAUUUCUAGUCUACUUCUCCUUUUCUGGAUUGAGUCAGGAAGAAUUAACUUCCUUGUUUUCUUUUAUUUACUUUUAUUAAUGUGAAAUCAUUUAGGGAAAAAAGUUAUGCAGCAAUAGUUCAAUCAACAUCCAUAAUUAAGCACCAACCUUUAGUUUAAAAGGUUGCAGAGAUUUGAUUCAUUGUUUUCACACACAGAGUCCACACUUAAAUGAUCUUUGGGAUGUUCUGGAGAAGACUGUUUGAUUCUCCAGUUAUCAAUACUUUACAUAUAAUUACUGAAAUUUAUGCCUCAUCAAAUGUUUCCCUUCAUCAAAGUUAAAGGCAGUCUAUUGAAAGGUUGAAGGAGAGUGGGCAUGUCCAGAUUAUGUUAUAUUGCACAGCUGUUCCUGAUGUGCUGAUGGCAGCGUUGCUACACAGAAGUUUAAAUCAGGAAGUUCAAAGCAUUUCUGCAUCAACAGGAACUGUCUGAAUGAUUAAAC